rnacentral:rRNA from 1 species
UGAGGAAUAUUGGUCAAUGGGCGCAAGCCUGAACCAGCCAUCCCGCGUGCAGGAAGACGGCCCUAUGGGUUGUAAACUUCUUUUCCAGGGGGAGAAUUUUUCUGUCGUGACAGGAAUUGACGGUACCCUGGGAAUAAGCAUCUGCUAACUCCGUGCCAGCAGCCGCGGUAAUACGGAGUAUUCGUUCGUUAUCCGGAUUUAUUUGGUUUAAAGGGUGCGUAGGCGGAUUGAUAAGUCAGUGGUGAAAAC